CCAGUAUUCCGUACUUCCUUACUUCCCAUAUAUGGAUAAAGAACUGUAUGGAAUGUAUAGAAGUAUGGAGUGCUGGAU